rnacentral:rRNA from 1 species
GGAGUUAGCCGGUGCUUCUUCUGCGAGUAACGUCACAGAUGUAAGGUAUUAACUUACACCCUUUCCUCCUCGCUGAAAGUGCUUUACAACCCGAAGGCCUUCUUCACACACGCGGCAUGGCUGCAUCAGGGUUUCCCCCAUUGUGCAAUAUUCCCCACUGCUGCCUCCCGUAGGAGUCUGGGCCGUGUCUCAGUCCCAGUGUGGCUGAUCAUCCUCUCAGACCAGCUAGGGAUCGUCGCCUAGGUGAGCCUUUACCUCACCUACUAGCUAAUCCCACCUGGGCUUAUCCAUCAGCGCAAGGCCCGAAGGUCCCCUGCUUUCCCCCGUAGGGCGUAUGCGGUAUUAGCAGUCGUUUCCAACUGUUAUCCCCCACAAAUGGGCAAAUUCCCAGGCAUUACUCACCCGUCCGCCGCUCGUCAUCUUCAAAAGCAAGCUUUUGAAAUGUUACCGCUCGACUUGCAUGUGUUAGGCCUGCCGCCAGCGUUCAAUCUGAGCCAUANACAACAACUCGACUACGUAGACGGGCGGUCGGUCGAACGGACGGCGACUAGA